rnacentral:rRNA from 1 species
CUUUGUGACAUACCUAUAACUGUUGCUUCGGCGGGUAGGGUCUCCGCGACCCUCCCGGCCUCCCGCCUCCGGGCGGGUCGGCGCCCGCCGGAGGAUAACCAAACUCUGAUUUAACGACGUUUCUUCUGAGUGGUACAAGCAAAUAAUCAAAACUUUUAACAACGGAUCUCUUGGUUCUGGCAUCGAUGAAGAACGCAGCGAAAUGCGAUAAGUAAUGUGAAUUGCAGAAUUCAGUGAAUCAUCGAAUCUUUGAACGCACAUUGCGCCCGCCAGCAUUCUGGCGGGCAUGCCUGUUCGAGCGUCAUUUCAACCCUCAAGCUCUGCUUGGUGUUGGGGCCCUACAGCUGAUGUAGGCCCUCAAAGGUAGUGGCGGACCCUCCCGGAGCCUCCUUUGCGUAGUAACUUUACGUCUCGCACUGGGAUCCGGAGGGACUCUUGCCGUAAAACCCCCCAAUUUUCCAAAGGUUGACCUCGGAUCAGGUAGGAAUACCCGCUGAACUUAAGCAUAUCAAUAACCGGAGGAA